CGCGCAGGCGGUUUCUUAAGUCUGAUGUGAAAGCCCACGGCUCAACCGUGGAGGGUCAUUGGAAACUGGGGAACUUGAGUGCAGAAGAGGAGAGUGGAAUUCCACGUGUAGCGGUGAAAUGCGUAGAGAUGUGGAGGAACACCAGUGGCGAAGGCGACUCUCUGGUCUGUAACUGACGCUGAGGCGCGAAAGCGUGGGGAGCGAACAGGAUUAGAUACCCUGGUAGUCCACGCCGUAAACGAUGAGUGCUAAGUGUUAGAGGGUUUCCGCCCUUUAGUGCUGCAGCAAACGCAUUAAGCACUCCGCCUGGGGAGUACGGCCGCAAGGCUGAA
rnacentral:rRNA from 1 species